AGCGAACGCUGGCGGCAGGCCUAACACAUGCAAGUCGAACGAACUCUUCGGAGUUAGUGGCGGACGGGUGAGUAACACGUGGGAACGUGCCUUUAGGUUCGGAAUAACUCAGGGAAACUUGUGCUAAUACCGAAUGUGCCCUUCGGGGGAAAGAUUUAUCGCCUUUAGAGCGGCCCGCGUCUGAUUAGCUAGUUGGUGAGGUAAAGGCUCACCAAGGCGACGAUCAGUAGCUGGUCUGAGAGGAUGAUCAGCCACAUUGGGACUGAGACACGGCCCAAACUCCUACGGGAGGCAGCAGUGGGGAAUCUUGCGCAAUGGGCGAAAGCCUGACGCAGCCAUGCCGCGUGAAUGAUGAAGGUCUUAGGAUUGUAAAAUUCUUUCACCGGGGACGAUAAUGACGGUACCCGGAGAAGAAGCCCCGGCCAACUUCGUG
rnacentral:rRNA from 1 species